AACGAACGCUGGCGGCAGGCCUAGCACAUGCAAGUCGAACGCUCGUAGCAAUACGGGAGUGGCAGACGGGUGAGUAACACGUGGGAACCUUCCCUAUGGUUCGGAAUAGCUCAGGGAAACUUGGGGUAAUACCGGAUAAGCCCUUCGGGGGAAAGAUUUAUCGCCAUUGGAUGGGCCCGCGUCGGAUUAGCGAGUUGGUGGGGUAACGGCCUACCAAGGCGACGAUCCGUAGCUGGUCUGAGAGGAUGAUCAGCCACACUGGGACUGAGACACGGCCCAGACUCCUACGGGAGGCAGCAGUGGGGAAUAUUGGACAAUGGGCGCAAGCCUGAUCCAGCCAUGCCGCGUGAGUGACGAAGGUCUUCGGAUUGUAAAGCUCUUUUGGCGGGGACGAUAAUGACGGUACCCGCAGAAUAAGCCCCGGCUAACUUCGUGCCAGCAGCCGCGGUAA
rnacentral:rRNA from 1 species